UACGUAGGGUGCGAGCGUUGUCCGGAAUUACUGGGCGUAAAGAGCUCGUAGGUGGUUUGUCGCGUUGUUCGUGAAAACUCACAGCUUAACUGUGGCGUGCGGCGGAUACGGGCAGACUGGAGUACUGCAGGGAGACUGGGAAGUUCCUGUGUAGGCGGUGAAAUGACGGCAGAGUAUCAGGAGGAACACCGGUGGCGAAGGCGGAUCUCUGGGCCAUUACUAACGCUGAGGAGCGAAAGCGUGGGGAGCGAACAGG
rnacentral:rRNA from 1 species